rnacentral:rRNA from 1 species
CGACUGAUUAGAAGCUUGCUUCUAUGACGUUAGCGGCGGACGGGUGAGUAACACGUGGGCAACCUGCCUGUAAGACUGGGAUAACUUCGGGAAACCGAAGCUAAUACCGGAUAGGAUCUUCUCCUUCAUGGGAGAUGAUUGAAAGAUGGUUUCGGCUAUCACUUACAGAUGGGCCCGCGGUGCAUUAGCUAGUUGGUGAGGUAACGGCUCACCAAGGCAACGAUGCAUAGCCGACCUGAGAGGGUGAUCGGCCACACUGGGACUGAGACACGGCCCAGACUCCUACGGGAGGCAGCAGUAGGGAAUCUUCCGCAAUGGACGAAAGUCUGACGGAGCAACGCCGCGUGAGUGAUGAAGGCUUUCGGGUCGUAAAACUCUGUUGUUAGGGAAGAACAAGUACGAGAGUAACUGCUCGUACCUUGACGGUACCUAACCAGAAAGCCACGGCUAACUACGUGC